CGCGCUUUUUUGCCCAACGCCUUGGUUUUGCGACUGUUGGGAUGCUUGCAUUUCUGCAACUCCUUGCCUGUUGGUGGUUAUCGAUAUUGCGGCUCAUCGGAUGUGGCGAUAUUUAACGUUAGAGGGUGCAACGAUCGCUAUGUAUGUAUCAUAUGUUUCGAACAGUCAUUAAAAGUUAGGAUUUUUGUAAAUGA